CCUACGGGACGCACCAGUAGGGAAUCUUCGGCAAUGGACGAAAGUCUGACCGAGCAACGCCGCGUGAGUGAAGAAGGUUUUCGGAUCGUAAAACUCUGUUGUUAGAGAAGAACAAGUAGGAGAGUAACUGCUCUUACCUUGACGGUAUCUAACCAGAAAGCCACGGCUAACUACGUGCCAGCAGCCGCGGUAAUACGUAGGUGGCAAGCGUUGUCCGGAUUUAUUGGGCGUAAAGCGAGCGCAGGCGGUCUUUUAAGUCUGAUGUGAAAGCCCUCGGCUCAACCGAGGAAGGUCAUUGGAAACUGGAGGACUUGAGUGCAGAAGAGGAGAGUGGAAUUCCAUGUGUAGCGGUGAAAUGCGUAGAUAUUAGGAGGAACACCAGUGGCGAAGGCGGCCUGCUGGACAUUAACUGACGCUGAGGAGCGAAAGCGUGGGGAGCAAACAGGAUUAGAUACCCGGGUAGUC
rnacentral:rRNA from 1 species